rnacentral:rRNA from 1 species
AUUGAACGCUGGCGGCAGGCCUAACACAUGCAAGUCGAACGAGUGGCGGACGGGUGAGUAAUGUCUGGGAAACUGCCUGAUGGAGGGGGAUAACUACUGGAAACGGUAGCUAAUACCGCAUACCAUUGUAUGUGCCCAGAUGGGAUUAGCUAGUAGGUGGGGUAACGGCUCACCUAGGCGACGAUCCCUAGCUGGUCGGAAAGGAUGACCAGCAACACUGGAACUGAGACACGGUCCAGAGUCCUACGGGAGGAAGCGGGGGGGAAUAUUGCACAAUGGGGGCAAGCCGGAUGCAGCCAUGCCGCGUGUAUGAAGAAGGCCUUCGGGUUGUAAAGUACUUUCAGCGGGGAGGCGUUACCCGCAGAAGAAGCACCGGCUAACUCCGUGCCAGCAGCCGCGGUAAUAC